rnacentral:rRNA from 1 species
AUUGAACGCUGGCGGCAUGCCUUACACAUGCAAGUCGAACGGCAGCACGGGUGCUUGCACCUGGUGGCGAGUGGCGAACGGGUGAGUAAUACAUCGGAACAUGUCCUGUAGUGGGGGAUAGCCCGGCGAAAGCCGGAUUAAUACCGCAUACGAUCUACGGAUGAAAGCGGGGGACCUUCGGGCCUCGCGCUAUAGGGUUGGCCGAUAGCUGAUUAGCUAGUUGGUGGGGUAAAGGCCUACCAAGGCGACGAUCAGUAGCUGGUCUGAGAGGACGACCAGCCACACUGUGACUGAGACACGGCACAAACUCCUACGGGAGGCAGCAGUGGGGAAUUUUGGGAGAUGGGCGAAAGGCUAAUCCAGCAAUGCCGCGUGUGUGAAGAAGGCCUUCGGGUUGUAAAGCACUUUUGUCCGGAAAGAAAUCCUUGGCUCUAAUACAGUCGGGGGAUGACGGUACCGGAAGAAUAAGCACCGGCUAACUACGUG